rnacentral:lncRNA from 1 species
AUGGAGCCUGCCCCAACUGUGAAGCUCCAAUCCAUCCCAGAAGAACUUACCCAACCUUGCCUUGAAACUCAAACUCCUGGAAUCCCAGGAGGUCAUACCCUCUGUGACAUCUGUAUGAUUCUCUACUAUUCAUUGGAUUGCCCAACUCUAACUUUUGCCCAUUGUUCUGAUCCGGAGGCAAGCUCGCUGAUCUCUCUGUCUCCACAACUAGGUGGGUCAGUACCUCGCCCACGUCUCAUCCACCCCCAGGAGUUCUGGCAUUACUGAACCCCUGCUCCCUCACUUGCCGAAGCACCAGGGCCUACAUCUCCUUUCAUCGCUGUACUGGUGGUGCCUCUGGUAUCCUUCAUGUGGAAGAAGAAAAAAAAUGCUUUCAACUAUUUUUAGAUAAAGAGUUAAACAUGAACAGUUCUCAGAAGUGAAAUGCUGCCUUUCCAGAACAGUAGCAAAACAGCAGUGGAAAUGAGUACAAAAAAAGAAAACAUCAAUAAUAUCUUACUACUGUUUAAUAAUGAAUUAAAAUAAUACUAGUAACCCCAAAUACACUGGAAGCAGAUGACAUUUCCACUUGAUUGUAAACUUCUGGAUUUAAAGAUCCCCAUGAAAGGGGAUAUCUCUAGGAUUACUUUUGGACAGAACCAAAAAGAGAUAUGAAUGUUUAAAGAUAAAUUAAACAAGGUCUAUAUGUUUGCUUGUUUAUUCAUUUUUUGAUGUAUUUCUCUCUGCCUGCCAUUCUGAAUAAUCUCAAUUUCAAAGACAAUUAAAUAUUUAAAAUCACUACUGUUCAAUAAACAAAUUCCAUUUAUACCUGUUCA